ensembl:lncRNA
GAGGCUCUCAGUGGGUGUGGGGAUCCCACAAGACAGUGAAUGAAAGGCCCUGCACAGCUCUGGGCUGCCCUGGUCCCUUGCUGACUGGGGCCUACAGUGCUCCCCGAGAAGCAGCACCAGCUAAGCCGUUCCCACGUCGGAAGUGGGUUCAGAUUCACUCCCCAGCGCCAGGCAGGUGGUGAUUCAGGAAAGGCCCCUCAUCUUUUGUGUGCUGAGAAAGAAACAGCUCUCCAUCUCUGUGGAUUUCUGCUCGGGAGGUAUCUCUGGAUCGCUCUGGGCUCCGGGGAAGAAGCCUUUCGGGGAUAGAAAUGCUCCAGAGGCGCUGUGCUCCCCACCACCGGCCUCCCCACCCCGGCUCUGCGUGUCCCCAAAUCCUCCGGACCACCUGCUACUUGGGGCCACAGCCCAGGUGGCAGAGUUGAAGGAUCCUGCAGAGGUGAACUGGUCCUGUUGCCUCCUCACAGAAGGGGCCAUUACUGAGUGCUGGGGGACUCGCCCAGGGUCACAGAGUCCAUUAGUGGCUGAGUCUAAUGCAACUGUCCCAGUUGUAGCAUGGAAAGCCUGGGAAUCCAUCCAUCCUGGACAAACUAGGACGGUUGGUCACCCUGUCUAGUAGGCAUUACCCCAUUCUCCCUCUUUCCCCCAGUCCCUGAGUUUCCUGGGGGGAGGAGCCUAGCCUCUGCCCCCUCAUUCCCUGCCCCUCUUCAGCCUGCUCAGAAAGCCCCUUUCCUCCCCUACCAUGGUCUGUCCCUCUGGGUCUCAGUAUGCCCACCACCUCCCUCUCUGAUGGCAAAGCAGUGAGUGUGGCUGCUUUCUGCUCUUCUCCCCUGCGGGGCUGAGCUGGGAAAAUCCUGGGAAGUGACCUCAGCCCUGGUGGAGCUUGGACUCUGGCAGGUGGGCGGGACUGAGUUGGAAAUAUGAAGGAUGCCCAAGGGGGCCCUGGGAUCUGCCUCCUGAAAAACAGCUUAGAGAGGGCUGGAGCAACCCAGUCCAGGAGGACUUCUGCCAGGCCGACCAAGGGAGCCGUUGAGAAGAGGCUUAGGACCUCCCAGUGAACUGACACCAAGUCACAACUCCUCUGGAGGGCUGGCUUAGGGUAUGGGGCAACUUGGGCUGCCAGGCCCAAGGUUACUCAGGCAUACCUCCUAGAAGCUGGGAUAAUAAUAGUCAUAAAGGGAAACAGCCUUGAUCGAGCCCCUCCCCCAGGCUAGUUAAAUAACCCCCCCAGGAGAUCCAAACUCAUGACCCCAAGUGGUCUGCCCAGUGGGAUAUGGCACCUUACCCACAUCAUCCCACCUAACCUUCAGGGUCACCCGCACCAGCUAUAGGGAUGACUGUUCUCACUUACAGAUGAGGAAACUGAGGCUCUGAGGGGGAGACAACUUGCCUUAGGCCACAGAGCUGGACAUCUGGGAGUGAGAAAUCAAACCCAAUCUAUCUAGAACCCCUUCCCUGCAGACCCUUCUUAAGAGGCUAAAUCCAACAGGAAAUGAGAUUUCUGUGGCAGGCACUUUUCACAAAUCAAAACAGAAUCUAAUCAGCCAUCUCUUUUUCAGUCUCAUCUUUCACAGAAGGUUCUAAAUAUAUCAGCACAAAAGCAUUUCGGAAUUCACAGCAAAAUAAUCUGCCCUGUUGUCAUCACCAUAACAGCAGCCCACAUGGGUAUAGCCUUUUUCAGGCCUCAAAGUGCAUUCAGCCACCGGAGGCUGCCUGGCAGGGUGGAGGCAGCCCAGUCUCUGAAGCUAGGGGCCCCAGUUUGAAUUUGACACCACUUGUGAUCUCAGGGGAGCUGCUUAAUCUCUUUAAGCCACAAUGCCCUCAAUUGUAAAAUAGGAGUUAGAGAAAAUGGACAUAAUGCAUAUUACGGGGCCUGCUAGGGUUGUUGUUUUUACGAACUAUGAGGUUAAGGACCCCCGUGGCUAUGUUACACAUGAAAGCUGAGUUUCUGAGGGACAUUCCUGUGGUCACAGAGCUGUCAUGUGGGUUGGUGUACAGUGUUGGCGCCCCUACACCAAACAGCCAAACAGGAUGUAUCAUCCACUUUUACUACAAGAAAAGCCAAAAAGCUCGCCCCAAGGAUUUGGAGGCAAUUUCUGUGGGUGCCCAGCUUGGUUGUCCUUGAGCCUCCAUGACUUCCCCAAAGCAAACUAAUGGUUGUUCUUCAAAGAAUUGAGAACCUAUCCAUCUCAUUUACAAAGAAGGAUUUCUAUGAAUUUUGUUUUUAAACAUGGGGAUUUUUUCCAGCAUAAAAACUCUGCAUGCUUAUUUGUGGGAAAAAAUAAAGUAUAAAAAAAAUUACGCAGAGUUCUUGUUGUGGCUCAGCAAUAAUGAACUCAAUGAGUAUCCAUAAGGAAGUGAGUUCAAUUCCUGGCCUCGCUCAGUGGGUUAAGGAUCCAGCAUUGCUGCAAACUGAGGCAUAGGUUGGCAGCUGCAGCUCCCAUUCGACUCCUAGCCUGGAAACUUACAUAUGCCACAGGUGCAGCUGU